CCUACGGGUGGCAGCAGUGGGGAAUAUUGCACAAUGGGGGAAACACUGAUGCAGCAAAGCCGCGUGAGUGAUGACGGCCUUCGGGUUGUAAAGCUCUGUCUUCAGGGACGAAAAUGAUGGUACCUGCAACGGCAGCACCGGCUAACUCCGUGCCAGAAGCCGCGGUAAUACGGCGGGUGCGAGCGUUAAUCGGAAGUACUGGGCGUAAAGCGCUCGUAGGCGGUAUGUCAAGGCAAGGGUGAAAGCCCCGGGCUCAACGUGGGAACUGCCUUUGAAACUGGAAAACUGGAGUGUGUGAGAGGAGAGUGGAAUUCCAGGUGUAGGAGUGAAAUCCGUAGAUAUCGGGAGGAACACCAGUGGCGAAGGCGACUAGCUGGCACAUAACUGACGCUGAGGAGCGAAAGCGUGGGUAGCAAACAGGAUUAGAUACCCGGGUAGUC
rnacentral:rRNA from 1 species